AGCUUUCCAGAAGCGGUAUCGUAGCUAGCGAGGUUUAUCCAGGCGUGGUUAUUGCUGAUUGAAAAUUUUUCCUGACGCCCUGCCCGACGACUCGAAAUACAGUCAGCUCCGGCAGUUUUAGACAGUCUCUACGGAGA